ensembl:lncRNA
GUCCCGCAAAAAGAGUGCUGUGCAGUGGAUUGUACCUACAGUUUUGCUAAUUGUGUGUUACAAAAUUGCAAACUGAGUGCAAAGCAGUGUUUGUGCUUUUAGUUUUGCAAACUCAGUGAGUGAGUAAUAGUUUUGGAAAUUGUGCUAGGACAAUCACGGUUAGGGUUUAAGCAUUCAGAAAAAACUGUAAUGCAUUUUGAUUGGUGCUACUUAGUAGAACUGUUUCCAUUCAACACUGCGCAGAAAUAUCUGUAUAAGAAGAGAUGUGAAAUGGUGGUCCACAUUUUUUUUGAUAGUACUGACAUCUGUCUUUUGCCCCCCAACCCCCUCCACACACAACCUUUAAUUCCACAGCCACAGUGACCACCUGUAAUGCUACUCAGAAGUCAUCACAGUGUUUUGUUGCUUUGGGUGGAACUCUGGAUCUUAAGCUAAUGACGAGUGUCAGUGGAUGUGACCUGCGGUUUAAGAAAAACCGUACUCAAGGUCCUGAACAGAUAUUUAUCAUGAAAAAAAACAAGUGUCCAUCAAAGGACCCACUGAAGGUAGAUCAGAGUUCUUUAUGAACAAUGGGACCUUCAGGUUAACCAAUGUUGAGAGGGCUGAUUCUGGACAAUACAUCCUGGAGGUCUACAAUUCUAAUGGGUCAAGUUUAGGAACCACAAUAAUACAACUGGAUAUCAAAGGCAAGUAACAAAAUAGUAAUGUUAACAAUAUUUUGUUUGCUGUUUUCUAUUGUUUAAUAUAUAAAUAAUAAGUGAUAAUGAUAAUUAUAAAACAGAUGUAUUGUUUUCAUUUGACACAAC